rnacentral:piRNA from 1 species
AUGUUCUUACUGGCUUGCUUC